rnacentral:rRNA from 1 species
UACAGAGGGGGCAAGCGUUAUUCGGAAUUAUUGGGCGUAAAGGGCGCGUAGGCGGCUUGGCAAGUGGAUGGUGAAAUCCCUCGGCUUAACCGAGGAACUGCCGUCCAAACUGCUUCGCUUGAGACCGGGAGAGGUGAGUGGAAUUCCCAGUGUAGCGGUGAAAUGCGUAGAUAUUGGGAGGAACACCAGCGGCGAAGGCGGACUCACUGGCCCGGUACUGACGCUGAGGUGCGAAAGCGUGGGGAGCAAACAGG